GGCUGAUUCAUUCUGUAUUGGAGAGGGGCAGAGAAAGAGAAGGUCAGGACGUCUAUUCAUAGUGGAGUGUGACAUUUUGAUCAAGAAGACAGAAUCAGUUAUUGCCCGGCCUCAUCUCUCAUUGUUUGUGUCAGUAAUUUGAAAGGUGUGGUCUGAUUUCAGCAGAAGCCCCUUUAUUUAAAAAUAUCGUUCUUUCCCAUUGCCCUGUGGAAGAGCUUAAAAUUCCACCAUUACAAUUCAUUGGCUUGAAUUAAGUUUUAAUACUCCACUAAAAUGUGAAGGCCCCUGGGGAGAGUGUAUUAAUCGAGUAUCACUCCUUACUGCCUUAGUGUGAGUCGGUUUAUCACAUUCCCCUCAAAGGAGAUGGUGAGAGGAGAACAACUCCACACCUCAACACGGAAAAGGACAAAAGCAUCAGGGGCCGAGGGAGAAUGGUGGACUCAUUCAUCCCUAUUGAGCCUCCAGGGGGAGGAGCAUCCAGAGGCCUGGAGCCAAGGAGGCUGGAGAAAGAGCCCAGGUUCGGUUCCUGGGCGUGGACCUACACCGCUUGUUUGUUGGUGGCCGUGAUGUGGCGGCUCACACAUAAAAAGAGGAAGAUUGGCAACAGAUGUUAGCUCAGGGUGAGUCUUCCUCCGAAAAACAAAAAUAUACAUAUUUAAAACAAACAAAAUAACCUGAAAUCUACUUUUAUUCACCAUUAUUUUGUUAAAAAGAUAGGGCAUUUUUACCAGCAAAAAUUAAGGAGGGGUUUAACAUUAUAAUAAAAGACAGUCCUUUAAACUGAAUGUAAUUUGCUUGUGAAAAACUCCCAAUUUGUCUGUGUCUCAUUUGGCUGUGGACCAGUAGAAACUUACCCUCAGACUGGCACUGUCCAUGCUGGGGCACUUGGAAGCCACAUUUCCAGGGAUCAAGGCUGUCUAGGGAAAAGAGACCUGUGCCUACAGAGACAAAUGACACCUGCAUAUCAAGAGGUGGGGUGGUGGCACUCUGUGGGAGGAAGUGAGGCAUGCUCCUUCUAACCACUCCGCUCCUACAUAAACCGCUGGGGCCCAGGCAAAUGCCACCUGCUCUAGGGACCUUCCCUCAUGGCCUCAGGUCAAAACUCGAUGGGUCCUUUCUCUCUGUUCUCACUGAGCAUUGCCUGGAACCCCACGUAGCAACCAGCUAAUCCUGCUUUAUACGGUAGCAGGUUUGUCAGCCUGUCCUUCUCUUUGGGUAGACUGUAAGAUCUUUGAGAGCAGGGGUGGUUUCUUUCUUUCUUUCUUUCUUUUUUUCUUUAACUUUUUAUUAAGAUUAUGAUAGUUUACAACCUUGUGAAAUUUCAGGUGUACAUUAUUGUUAGUCAUGUUGUAGGUGCGCCACUUCACCCUUUGUGC
rnacentral:lncRNA from 1 species